AGUGAACGCUGGCGGUAGGCCUAACACAUGCAAGUCGAACGGCAGCACAGGAGAGCUUGCUCUCUGGGUGGCGAGUGGCGGACGGGUGAGGAAUACAUCGGAAUCUACCUUUUCGUGGGGGAUAACGUAGGGAAACUUACGCUAAUACCGCAUACGACCUACGGGUGAAAGUGGGGGACCGCAAGGCCUCACGCGAUUAGAUGAGCCGAUGUCCGAUUAGCUAGUUGGCGGGGUAAUGGCCCACCAAGGCGACGAUCGGUAGCUGGGCUGAGAGGAUGAUCGGCCACACUGGACCUGGGACACGGUCCAGACUCCUCCGGGAGGCAGCAGUGGGGAAUAUUGGACAAUGGGCGCAAGCCUGAUCCAGCCAUACCGCGUGUGUGAAGAAGGCCUUCGGGUUGUAAAGCCCUUUUGUUGGGAAAGAAAUCCUGUCGAUUAAUACUCGGUGGGGAUGACGGUACCCAAAGAAUAAGCACCGGCUAACUUCGUGCCAGCCGCCGCCGUAAAAC
rnacentral:rRNA from 1 species